rnacentral:rRNA from 1 species
UACAGAGGGUGCAAGCGUUUGUUCGGAAUUAUUGGGCGUAAAGGGCGCGUAGGCGGUGCGGUAAGUCUGCGGUGAAAUCUCCCGGCUCAACUGGGAGGCUGCCGUGGAAACUGCCGUGCUUGAGUGUGGGAGAGGUGAGUGGAAUUCCCCGGUGUAGCGGUGAAAUGCGUAGAGAUCGUAAGGAAGACCAGUGGCGAAGGCGGGUCUCUGGACAGUUCCUGACACUGAGGCACGAAGGCCAGGGGGAGCAAACGGG